rfam:Pachysolen tannophilus NRRL Y-2460 unplaced genomic scaffold PACTA_scaffold_7, whole genome shotgun sequence.
GCCUGGCUAGCUCAAUCGGUAGAGCGUUUGACUCUUACGAUAUUAAACGGAUAUCAAAAGGUUGCGGGUUCGACCCCCGCGUCGGGCU